rnacentral:sRNA from 1 species
CUUCCAUUGACACAAGGCGUGGUAAGUUGUUUUCCGAUUCGUUGUCGCGCACGAAGUGCAUUGGCUGCGAAAAGAGUAAAACAAAUCUAUCCAUGCAAGCAUUUUACCGUCGGUUCUCCGGCGGUUUUUUUUAUUUCUUACGUAUAAAAAAGGCCCCUUGUGCAAAAUCUGCGACAAGGGGCCUGGUCGGUGAGGAGUUAUCUCCGUUCAUUAAUCA